CAGUCGCCGCGGUAAUACGAAGGGGGCUAGCGUUGUUCGGAAUUACUGGGCGUAAAGCGCACGCAGGCGGCUCGAUAAAUUAGAAGUGAAAGCCUUGGGCUUAACCUGAGAAUUGCUUUUAAGACUGUCGAGCUAGAAUCCAGAAGAGGGUAGUGGAAUUCCGAGUGUAGAGGUGAAAUUCGUAGAUAUUCGGAAGAACACCAGUGGCGAAGGCGACUACCUGGUCUGGCAUUGACGCUCAUGUGCGAAAGCGUGGGGAGCAAACAGGAUUAGAUACCCCAGUAGUCCCUGUCUCUUAUAC
rnacentral:rRNA from 1 species